rnacentral:rRNA from 1 species
CGGUGUAGCAAUACACAGUGGCGAACGGCGGAGUAAUACAUAAGGAACGUGCCCUGAAGACCGGGAUAGUCAUUGGAAACGAUGGGUAAUACCGGAUGUGGCCACUCUUCGGCAUCGAAGGGUGAUUAAAUGGAUUUUCGCUUCAGGAGCGUCUUAUGGCCUAUCAGGUAGUUGGUGGGGUAAUGGCCUACCAAGCCGACGACGGGUAGCGGGUCUGAGAGGAUGAUCCGCUCGAGUGGGACUGAGACACGGCCCACACACCUACGGGUGGCAGCAGUUGGGAAUCUUGCACAAUGGGGGAAACCCUGAUGCAGCGACGCCGCGUGGAGGAUGACGGGUCUAGGCCUGUAAACUCCUUUUAACGGGAAAGACUUAGGACGGUACCCGUUGAAUAAGGACCGGCUAACUACGUGCCAGCAGCCGCGGUAAGACGUAGGGUCCAAGCGUUGUCCGGAUUUACUGGGCGUAAAGAGCGCGUAGGCGGUCUGUUAAGUGUGAAGUGAAAUCUCCAGGGCUCAACCCGGAAACUGCUUCGCAUACUGGCAGACUGGAGGGAUGCAGAGGUUUGUGGAAUUCCUGGUGUAGCGGUGAAAUGCAUAGAUAUCA